GGCGGCACGCCUAACACAUGCAAGUCGAACGAAGUAGCAAUACUUAGUGGCAGACGGGUGAGUAACAUGUGGGUAUCUACCCUUUGGCCUGGAAUAACACGAGGAAACUUGUGCUAAUACCGGAUAAGUCUUUACGGAGAAAGCUUUAUGCACCAUUGGAUGAGCCCGCACUUGAUUAGUUUGUUGGUAGGGUAAUGGCCUACCAAGACUAUGAUCAAUAGCUGAUUUGAGAGGAUGAUCAGCCACAUUGGGACUGAGACACGGCCCAAACUCCUACGGGAGGCAGCAGUGGGGAAUCUUGCACAAUGGAGGAAACUCUGAUGCAGCGAUGCCGCGUGAGUGAAGAAGGCCCUUGGGUUGUAAAGCUCUUUCGUCGGGGAAGAAAAUGACUGUACCCGAAUAAGAAGGUCCGGCUAACUUCGUGCCAGCAGCCGCGGUAAUACGAAGGGACCUAGCGUAGUUCGGAAUUACUGGGCUUAAAGAGUUCGUAGGUGGUUGAAAAAGUUGGUGGUGAAAUCCCAGAGCUUAACUCUGGAACUGCCAUCAAAACUUUUCAGCUAGAGUUUGAUAGAGGAAAGCAGAAUUUCUAGUGUAGAGGUGAAAUUCGUAGAUAUUAGAAAGAAUACCAAUUGCGAAGGCAGCUUUCUGGAUCAUUACUGACACUGAGGAACGAAAGCAUGGGUAGCGAAGAGGAUUAGAUACCCUCGUAGUCCAUGCCGUAAACGAUGUGUGUUAGACGUUGGAAAUUUAUUUUCAGUGUCGCAGCGAAAGCGAUAAACACACCGCCUGGGGAGUACGACCG
rnacentral:rRNA from 1 species